rnacentral:rRNA from 1 species
GACGAACGCUGGCGGCGUGCCUAAUACAUGCAAGUCGAACGCAGUGGGGACGGGUGAGUAACCCGUGGGUCACCUCCCCUCAGAGGGGAUAACACUCGCAAACAGGUGCUAAACCGAUACUGUCGGAUGGACCCGCGGUGCAUUCGCUAGUUGGUGAGGUAACGGAUCACGAAGGCCACGAUGCAUAGCCAAGCUGAGAGGGUGAUCGGCCACACUGGGGCUGAGACACGGCCCAGACUCCUACGAGAGGCAGCAGUAGGGAAUCUUCGGCAAUGGACGAAAGUCUGACCGAGCAACGCCGCGUGAGUGAAGAAGGUAUUCGGAUCGUAAAACUCUGUUGUUAGAGAAGCGGUAUCUAACCAGAAAGCCACGGCUAACUACGUGCCAGCAGCCGCGGUAAUAC